UACGUAGGGGGCAAGCGUUGUCCGGAUUUAUUGGGCGUAAAGCGCGUGUAGGCGGCCACGCAGGUCCGUUGUGAAAACUGGAGGCUCAACCUCCAGCUGUCGACGGAAACCGUGUGGCUAGAGUCCGGAAGAGGAGAGUGGAAUUCCUGGUGUAGCGGUGAAAUGCGCAGAUAUCAGGAAGAACACCAAUGGCGAAGGCAGCUCUCUGGGACGGUACUGACGCUGAGACGCGAAAAGCGUGGGGGAGCGAACAGG
rnacentral:rRNA from 1 species